rnacentral:rRNA from 1 species
AAAUUGAAGAGUUUGAUCAUGGCUCAGAUUGAACGCUGGCGGCAGGCCUAACACAUGCAAGUCGAACGGUAACAGGAAGAAGCUUGCUUCUUUGCUGACGAGUGGCGGACGGGUGAGUAAUGUCUGGGAAACUGCCUGAUGGAGGGGGAUAACUACUGGAAACGGUAGCUAAUACCGCAUAACGUCGCAAGACCAAAGAGGGGGACCUUCGGGCCUCUUGCCAUCGGAUGUGCCCAGAUGGGAUUAGCUUGUUGGUGGGGUAACGGCUCACCAAGGCGACGAUCCCUAGCUGGUCUGAGAGGAUGACCAGCCACACUGGAACUGAGACACGGUCCAGACUCCUACGGGAGGCAGCAGUGGGGAAUAUUGCACAAUGGGCGCAAGCCUGAUGCAGCCAUGCCGCGUGUAUGAAGAAGGCCUUCGGGUUGUAAAGUACUUUCAGCGGGGAGGAAGGGAGUAAAGUUAAUACCUUUGCUCAUUGACGUUACCCGCAGAAGAAGCACCGGCUAACUCCGUGCCAGCAGCCGCGGUAAUACGGAGGGUGCAAGCGUUAAUCGGAAUUACUGGGCGUAAAGCGCACGCAGGCGGUUUGUUAAGUCAGAUGUGAAAUCCCCGGGCUCAACCUGGGAACUGCAUCUGAUACUGGCAAGCUUGAGUCUCGUAGAGGGGGGUAGAAUUCCAGGUGUAGCGGUGAAAUGCGUAGAGAUCUGGAGGAAUACCGGUGGCGAAGGCGGCCCCCUGGACGAAGACUGACGCUCAGGUGCGAAAGCGUGGGGAGCAAACAGGAUUAGAUACCCUGGUAGUCCACGCCGUAAACGAUGUCGACUUGGAGGUUGUGCCCUUGAGGCGUGGCUUCCGGAGCUAACGCGUUAAGUCGACCGCCUGGGGAGUACGGCCGCAAGGUUAAAACUCAAAUGAAUUGACGGGGGCCCGCACAAGCGGUGGAGCAUGUGGUUUAAUUCGAUGCAACGCGAAGAACCUUACCUGGUCUUGACAUCCACGGAAGUUUUCAGAGAUGAGAAUGUGCCUUCGGGAACUGUGAGACAGGUGCUGCAUGGCUGUCGUCAGCUCGUGUUGUGAAAUGUUGGGUUAAGUCCCGCAACGAGCGCAACCCUUAUCCUUUGUUGCCAGCGGUCCGGCCGGGAACUCAAAGGAGACUGCCAGUGAUAAACUGGAGGAAGGUGGGGAUGACGUCAAGUCAUCAUGGCCCUUACGACCAGGGCUACACACGUGCUACAAUGGCGCAUACAAAGAGAAGCGACCUCGCGAGAGCAAGCGGACCUCAUAAAGUGCGUCGUAGUCCGGAUUGGAGUCUGCAACUCGACUCCAUGAAGUCGGAAUCGCUAGUAAUCGUGGAUCAGAAUGCCACGGUGAAUACGUUCCCGGGCCUUGUACACACCGCCCGUCACACCAUGGGAGUGGGUUGCAAAAGAAGUAGGUAGCUUAACCUUCGGGAGGGCGCUUACCACUUUGUGAUUCAUGACUGGGGUGAAGUCGUAACAAGGUAACCGUAGGGGAACCUGCGGUUGGAUCACCUCCUUACCUUAAAGAAGC